GACGAGCAUCACAAACGUUAUUCGGAAUUACUGGGCUUAAAGGGUGCGUAGGCGGUGCAGCAAGUCGGGAGUGAAAUCCCACAGCUCAACUGUGGAAUUGCUUUCGAUACUGCUGUGCUUGAGUGAGAUAGAGGUAAGCGGAACUUAGGGUGGAGCGGUGAAAUGCGUUGAUAUCCUAAGGAACACCGGUGGCGAAGGCGGCUUACUGGGUCUCUACUGACGCUGAUGCACGAAAGCCAGGGUAGCGAAC
rnacentral:rRNA from 2 species